AUUUACUUCCUCCAUCAAGUAAAAUGUUCCGAAAGACCAAGCAAGGUGUUACCACCUCGGCUAAAAGUAGACCUCCCUCAUCAUCUACCACCAAUGGCCGGGUUAGAAGGACAAGUCGGAUCAAAGGGCAGAGCUCUGCAAAUACUUCUGAUAUUUGGGGACCCACACCACUGAUAACACCCAAGUUUGA